rnacentral:rRNA from 1 species
CCCUUUGUGGGGGACAACAGUUGGAAACGACUGCUAAUACCGCAUACGCCCUUCGGGGAAAGAUUUAUCGCCAAAGGAUUAGCCCGCGUUAGAUUAGGUAGUUGGUGAGGUAACGGCUCACCAAGCCGACGAUCUAUAGCUGGUCUGAGAGGAUGAUCAGCCACACUGGGACUGAGACACGGCCCAGACUCCUACGGGAGGCAGCAGUGGGGAAUAUUGCGCAAUGGGGGCAACCCUGACGCAGCCAUGCCGCGUGAGUGAAGAAGGCCUUCGGGUUGUAAAGCUCUUUCAACUGUGAGGAUGAUGACAGUAGCAGUAGAAGAAGCCCCGGCUAACUUCGUGCCAGCAGCCGCGGUAAUACGAAGGGGGCUAGCGUUGUUCGGAAUUACUGGGCGUAAAGGGCGCGUAGGGGACUAUCCAGUCAGGGGUGAAAGCCCGGGGCUUAACCUCGGAACUGCCUUUGAUACUGAUAGUCUAGAGUUUGUGAGAGGUUAGUGGAAUACCCAGUGUAGAGGUGAAAUUCGUAGAUAUUGGGUGGAACACCAGUGGCGAAGGGACUAACUGGCACAAUACUGACGCUGAGGCGCGAAAGUGGGGAGCAAACAGGAUUAGAUACCCUGGUAGUCCACGCCGUAAACGAUGUGAACUAGUCGUCGGGAUUUAGGUCUCGGUGACGCAGCUAACGCAUUAAGUUCACCGCCUGGGGAGUACGGUCGCAAGAUUAAAACUC